rnacentral:rRNA from 1 species
UUUACCUGUGUGACUGCGUACCUUUUGUAUAAUGGGUCAGCGACUUAUAUUCUGUAGCAAGGUUAACCGAAUAGGGGAGCCGGAGGGAAACCGAGUCUUAAUUGGGCGUUAAGUUGCAGGGUAUAGACCCGAAACCCGGUGAUCUAGCCAUGGGCAGGUUGAAGGUUGGGUAACACUAACUGGAGGACCGAACCGACUAAUGUUGAAAAAUUAGCGGAUGACCUGUGGCUGGGGGUGAAAGGCCAAUCAAACCGGGAGAUAGCUGGUUCUCCCCGAAAGCUAUUUAGGUAGCGCCUCGUGAAUUCAUCUCCGGGGGUAGAGCACUGUUUCGGCUAGGGGGCCAUCCCGGCUUACCAACCCGAUGCAAACUGCGAAUACCGGAGAAUGUUAUCACGGGAGACACACGGCGGGUGCUAACGUCCGUCGUGAAGAGGGAAACAACCCAGACCGCCAGCUAAGGUCCCAAAGUCAUGGUUAAGUGGGAAACGAUGUGGGAAGGCCCAGACAGCCAGGAUGUUGGCUUAGAAGCAGCCAUCAUUUAAAGAAAGCGUAAUAGCUCACUGGUCGAGUCGGCCUGCGCGGAAGAUGUAACGGGGCUAAACCAUGCACCGAAGCUGCGGCAGCGAACGUAUCACCCAAGACAACUUUACGGAGUUGACGAUUGACGGAGCGAAGCGACGUCAAAGCGUUCAUUAAAGUCGAGUUGGCUUAGGGAUACGUUCGUUGGGUAGGGGAGCGUUCUGUAAGCCUGUGAAGGUGUGUCGUGAGGCAUGCUGGAGGUAUCAGAAGUGCGAAUGCUGACAUAAGUAACGAUAAAGCGGGUGAAAAGCCCGCUCGCCGGAAGACCAAGGGUUCCUGUCCAACGUUAAUCGGGGCAGGGUGAGUCGACCCCUAAGGCGAGGCCGAAAGGCGUAGUCGAUGGGAAACGGGUUAAUAUUCCCGUACUUGGUGUUACUGCGAAGGGGGGACGGAGAAGGCUAUGUUGGCCGGGCGACGGUUGUCCCGGUUUAAGCGUGUAGGUGUGUGUUCCAGGUAAAUCCGGUUCACUUUAACACUGAGGCGUGACGACGAGGCACUACGGUGCUGAAGCAACAAAUGCCCUGCUUCCAGGAAAAGCCUCUAAGCAUCAGGUAACACGAAAUCGUACCCCAAACCGACACAGGUGGUCAGGUAGAGAAUACCAAGGCGCUUGAGAGAACUCGGGUGAAGGAACUAGGCAAAAUGGUGCCGUAACUUCGGGAGAAGGCACGCUGACACGUAGGUGAAGUGAUUUACUCAUGGAGCUGAAGUCAGUCGAAGAUACCAGCUGGCUGCAACUGUUUAUUAAAAACACAGCACUGUGCAAACACGAAAGUGGACGUAUACGGUGUGACGCCUGCCCGGUGCCGGAAGGUUAAUUGAUGGGGUCAGCGUAAGCGAAGCUCCUGAUCGAAGCCCCGGUAAACGGCGGCCGUAACUAUAACGGUCCUAAGGUAGCGAAAUUCCUUGUCGGGUAAGUUCCGACCUGCACGAAUGGCGUAAUGAUGGCCAGGCUGUCUCCACCCGAGACUCAGUGAAAUUGAACUCGCUGUGAAGAUGCAGUGUACCCGCGGCAAGACGGAAAGACCCCGUGAACCUUUACUAUAGCUUGACACUGAACAUUGAGCCUUGAUGUGUAGGAUAGGUGGGAGGCUUUGAAGUGUGGACGCCAGUCUGCAUGGAGCCGACCUUGAAAUACCACCCUUUAAUGUUUGAUGUUCUAACGUGGACCCGUAAUCCGGGUUGCGGACAGUGUCUGGUGGGUAGUUUGACUGGGGCGGUCUCCUCCUAAAGAGUAACGGAGGAGCACGAAGGUUGGCUAAUCCUGGUCGGACAUCAGGAGGUUAGUGCAAUGGCAUAAGCCAGCUUGACUGCGAGCGUGACGGCGCGAGCAGGUGCGAAAGCAGGUCAUAGUGAUCCGGUGGUUCUGAAUGGAAGGGCCAUCGCUCAACGGAUAAAAGGUACUCCGGGGAUAACAGGCUGAUACCGCCCAAGAGUUCAUAUCGACGGCGGUGUUUGGCACCUCGAUGUCGGCUCAUCACAUCCUGGGGCUGAAGUAGGUCCCAAGGGUAUGGCUGUUCGCCAUUUAAAGUGGUACGCGAGCUGGGUUUAGAACGUCGUGAGACAGUUCGGUCCCUAUCUGCCGUGGGCGCUGGAGAACUGAGGGGGGCUGCUCCUAGUACGAGAGGACCGGAGUGGACGCAUCACUGGUGUUCGGGUUGUCAUGCCAAUGGCACUGCCCGGUAGCUAAAUGCGGAAGAGAUAAGUGCUGAAAGCAUCUAAGCACGAAACUUGCCCCGAGAUGAGUUCUCCCUGAGACUUAGAGUCUCCUGAAGGAACGUUGAAGACGACGACGUUGAUAGGCCGGGUGUGUAAGCGCAGCGAUGCGUUGAGCUAACCGGUACUAAUGAACCGUGAGGCUUAACCUU